UUCAGCGGCGGACGGGUGAGUAAUGCCUAGGAAUCUGCCCGAUAGUGGGGGACAACGAUUUCGAAAGGAACGCUAAUACCGCAUACGUCCUACGGGAGAAAGCAGGGGACCUUCGGGCCUUGCGCUAUCGGAUGAGCCUAGGUCGGAUUAGCUAGUUGGUGGGGUAAAGGCUCACCAAGGCGACGAUCCGUAACUGGUCUGAGAGGAUGAUCAGUCACACUGGAACUGAGACACGGUCCAGACUCCUACGGGAGGCAGCAGUGGGGAAUAUUGGACAAUGGGCGAAAGCCUGAUCCAGCCAUGCCGCGUGUGUGAAGAAGGUCUUCGGAUUGUAAAGCACUUUAAGCUGGGAGGAAGGGCAGUAAGUUAAUACCUUGCUGCUUUGACGUUACCAGCAGAAUAAGCACCGGCUAACUUCGUGCCAGCAGCCGCGGUAAUACGAAGGGUGCAAGCGUUAAUCGGAAUUACUGGGCGUAAAGCGCGCGUAGGUGGUUCAGCAAGUUGGAUGUGAAAGCCCCGGGCUCAACCUGGGAACUGCAUCCAAAACUACUGGGCUAGAGUAUGGUAGAGGGUGGUGGAAUUUCCUGUGUAGCGGUGAAAUGCGUAGAUAUAGGAAGGAACACCAGUGGCGAAGGCGACCACCUGGACUAAUACUGACACUGAGGUGCGAAAGCGUGGGGAGCAAACAGGAUUAGAUACCCUGGUAGUCCACGCCGUAAACGAUGUCAACUAGUUGUUGGGUUCCUUGAGGACUUAGUAACGAAGCUAACGCGAUAAGUUGACCGCCUGGGGGAGUACGGCCGCAAGGUUAAACUCAAAUGAAUUGACGGGGGCCCGCACAAGCGGUGGAGCAUGUGGUU
rnacentral:rRNA from 1 species